CGGUCACACACUACCUCGCAGUCGCUCCAAUCGGCGUGCAUUGUCGACGGCAGUUGUUGCUGUGUAAUGCCGCUGGUGCGUGACGUCAUUUAUGGACGGCCCCCGUAACGUUCCGUGGUAUUGAAGCGGGGUUGAGAGUUCUCGAACAAAGCUCUCGGUCUAGAGGUCGACGAUCUUCGUCCCGCGGGGUUGCCGGGCCUCGCCACUCUCCGUGAUCCGAGCCGCUGCUGCUCCUCCGGAUCGAGAGGAGCCAGUUGAGGUGAUUCGGGCACCUGAAAGUGUGCAGGGAUCAUCUCGUAGAAAUGACGGCAGAUGGACGAGACUGGGGAUGAAACAAGAGCCAAAAUGGACAAGGCACGCGCAAGAGGACAACCACCGUCCACCAGGGAGUGACAAUGAGAUCAGCUCAUCUGCAGGAGCUAACGUGGACGUUGACAUCGAUAGGAGCGUGACCUUCAUCCAGCAGUUGACAGAACAAAGUUUAUAACGAUGAUGGAUGGUUGUCGUGUUGGUAUUGCAACAGCCAGUAUGAUAUUUUUUUUAAUGAAAAUGUAAUUCAUUACUUUAUCUGAUAAGCAACAUUUCUUUAGAAUGUUUACGUCGCUCUUUCCAGCAGUUAAUAAUAAAAAACACCGAAAACAUGGAAAGAUCAUCGAUGUUCAGUUCCCAUAUUUUUAGUGUACGUCAAUGUUUUCAACAAAAACAGCGUUUGAUAUAACGAAAUGUUUUUUUGUAUGUCCCAUUUUAUUUAACAAAAUAGAUACGCAUCUAAUGUCUCCAUAUCUCUCCCAAAAAAGUAUUCCCUCUUGGUUCCACGGGUUUUCUGGGAGUAAAUUUCAGCAGCAUGGUUUCUGGACCGGUUUUGACUUACAGAAUCUCAUCAGCAGACACGAUUUCUUUCUUGAAUCAAUGCCGGUGAGUGAUAGCGCUUUAUAAAAUUAGAUUAGAUUAAGAUAUGAGUCAGGAUCAGGCUUGCUCAAAUCAGUGCUGGUUAAACUUACUAGAUGUUAAAGGUAUACGGUUCAGGGUCAAACUUCCAGAUGUUAAAGAUAUGUGUCAGGGUCAAACUUGCUUGAUUGAAUGGCGGUAAACUUCCAAAUGUUAAUGGCAAGACCGUUUCUUUAACAUAUGGGCCAGGAUUAGGCUUGCUUGCUUGCUUGAAUCAAUACCGGUGAAAAGCCAGAUGUUCCAAGCCAGAACCCUCUGUUUCAAGAUAUGGGCCAGGCUUGCUCACUUGAAUCAUUGGCCAGUGAACUUCCAGAUGUUAAGAGCCAAUGGACCACCUCCGUGAGAUAUGACUCAAGGUCAAGACCCUCUGCGUACCUUAAUGGCUCGAGGUCAAGACCCUCUCUCUAAGAUUGGAUGGUGCUCAUCCUUGCUUCCGUUUGAUCCGUGUCACGCGGCAGCGUCAUUUUCGCAGCCCAGAGCGCGUAACUUCCCCAAUGCCCUCACCACACACAAAAAAACAAAGAUCCCCCAUAUAGCCUUAACAGACUGUAGGGGCAAGUGCUGUUA